ACAUUAACAUAAGUAUGUCCCAUGCAAUAUUUGGGAUAUACUUAUACUAAAA
rnacentral:pre_miRNA from 1 species